ensembl:lncRNA
AGGGGACACUGUCGCACCGCUGAGGGCUCAGGAUCCACCGGCAGAGUCGAACUGCAAGAACUGAGCUUGUCCAACAUCCUCCGGGAUUUUAUUUUAUUUUUCUAUCUUCCUUCCCUUCUAUAAAUGAUCCUGGAAUUUUACCUGCCCUCAUGAAAUGAGCCGCCCUCAGCAGCUUCUUCCAUCCUGCCGUCCUACGCCAGAGAAGAAAAGACCCAGCACCAGGAAAUAAAGAGUGCCCAAAUCUUCACCCCUGGUCUUUUAUCAUCUCACUGUCUCUGCUGCUCCCAGGAACUCUGGAUGCUGCCUCACCACUGCUGUUGCUGUCAUGGUUAAUCUGCUGUAUCUUCUUCAUGUUACCAGCUCAGCCUACACAUGAUAAAGGUCAGAUCCAAUUUCUUCCUGUGACAACCAUCUUACAAAUGUCUCCCAAUGGAUCUCCUCAUAGUCACAUCUUUGAGUUCCGUCUGCAGGAAAUGUUUGCAUCCCUACAAAAGGUAUGCAUUAAAGGUGAAGUAAAUUGGAUGAGUUUUUAGAAACAGAGCCUUUGGGAGGUGGAUUAGAUUCAGAUGAGGCCAUGAGAGUUGGAACAUGAUAGGAUUUGUGUCUUUUUGUUUAUUUUUGAUAAGCCCCAACUAUCCAGACUGGUCUAGAACUCCUCCUCUCUAUCCCCUGGGUGCUGGGAUUACAGGUGUGUACCACCACACCUGACUGUGAGUUUGUACCUUUAGAAGAGGCAGUUGGACUGAGAAGACAGCUCAGCAGGUGAAGAGCUUGCCACAGGAGCACGAGGACCUGCGUUUCAUCUUCGGCACCCACAUAAAGCCAGGCACAACAGUACACACCUGUAAUCCCCGCACUGACCAGAGGAUACUUAGGGCUUGCUGGCCAGCCCGUUUAACUGAAUUGGUAAUCUCCAGAUUCAAAAAGAGACCCUAUCUCAAAAAAUAUCUUGGAGAGUGAUUAAGGACACCUGACAUCACCCUCUGGCCUUCACAUACCCGCACAUACACGUGCACACAAACAUAGGACACAGAAGCACAUACUCACAAGAGGGGGGAAAGAAGGAAGAGCAGAGAGGAGAUGCCUGAGCUCACUGACUUCCACACACCAAGCAAAGGCCAGGGAACACACAGAAACACUGGCCACCCACAAGCUGGGAGGAGAGGCCUCAGAAUAAAACCUGCCUCACUGACCUUAAAUCUCUCAGCCUCCAGAACAGGACAUUCCUGUUGUUGAAGCCACCUGACUGUAGGCAUCUUGCUGUAACUUAGCAGCUGGCUGGGGUCCCUUGCUCCACUCAAAUAGAAAUUAUGAUUAGAGAGAAAUAGAUAUCCUUGUGUUGGCAGACCUAGGCCCUUGAGUGCCAAAGGCUUGUGGGCUGGGUUGCAGACUUGGAGCGUUCUAGCUGAUCCUGAAUGUCUCAAUUAAAAAAAAAAAAAAAAAAAAAAAAAAAAAAAAAAAAAAAACCAAUGUUUAUUUUAAGCAUUGAGUUUGCUAUAAUUUCUUCUUCUUCCUUCCUUUUUUUUAUGUGUAUGUAUGUAUGUAUGCCUGAGUAUGUAUAUGCAUGCUUCAUUUAAUUCUCACAAAACUCCAUGAACAGCUACUGUUAUCCCAUUCUGCAGGUGAAAAUAAUGGCUCAACAGGCAUGGCGGUUUGAAUGAGAAAUGCCUUACAUAGCCUCACAUAUGUGACUGCUUGGUCCCAGGCUGGUGACACUGUUUGGGGAAGCUAUGUAAUCUUUAGGAAGUGAUGCCUUAAUGGAGGAAGUACACCAGUGAGGGCAGGCUUUGAGAGUUCAUUGCCUGACCCCACUUCCAGUUUGCUGUCUCUGCUUUGUGUUUGUGUCUGAAGACGCAAUUUCUCAGCAGCCUGCUCCGGUGGCCUGCUGCCAUGACACCCCACCACUUAUGGACUCUCUCUCUGGGACUGUAAGCCCAAAUAAACUAUUCCAUAAAUCAAUUUUGGUCAGUUUAUCAGAGCAACAGGAAUGUACUUAAUACCAUGGGUAAAGGCACUUGCUGCCAAGUCUGAACACCUGAGUUGGAUCCCCAGGACCCAAUAGGAGAAGGAGAGAAGCAUUCCUGUGAGUGUUCUGACUUCCAGACUCAUACUGAGGCACAAGCAGUCCC